UGACGGUAUCUAACCAGCAAGUCACGGCUAACUACGUGCCAGCAGCCGCGGUAAUACGUAGGUGGCAAGCGUUAUCCGGAUCUAUUGGGCGUAAAGGGAACGCAGGCGGUUUUUUAAGUCUGAUGUGAAAGCCUUCGGCUUAACCGGAGAAUAGCAUUGGAAACUGGAAGACUUGAGUGCAGAAGAGGAGAGUGGAACUCCAUGUGUAGCGGUGAAAUGCGUAGAUAUAUGGAAGAACACCAGUGGCGAAAGCGGCUCUCUGGUCUGUAACUGACGCUGAGGUUCGAAAGCGUGGGUAGCAAACAGGAUUAGAUACCCUG
rnacentral:rRNA from 1 species